rnacentral:rRNA from 1 species
UACGGAGGGUGCAAGCGUUGUUCGGAAUCACUGGGCGUAAAGGGCGCGUAGGCGGUUUGAUAAGUCAGAUGUGAAAGCCCACGGCUUAACUGUGGAAGUGCAUUUGAAACUGUCAGACUUGAGUAUCAGAGGGGAAAGUGGAAUUCCCGGUGUAGAGGUGAAAUUCGUAGAGAACGGGAGGAAUACCGGUGGCGAAGGCGACUUUCUGGCUGAAUACUGACGCUGAGGCGCGAAAGAGUGGGGAGCAAACAGG